GACGAACGCUGGCGGCGUGCUUAACACAUGCAAGUCGAACGAAGUUGCGAACGGGUGAGUAACGUGUAGUCAACCUCCCCUUCAUAGGGGGACAACAGUUGGAAACGACUGCUAAUACCGUUUCCUGAAUGAGGGGUUUGCGUCUGCAUAGCUAGUUGGGGGGGUGACGGCCCACCAAGGCGGUGAUAAGUAGCCGGAGUGAGAGGAGUAGCAGCCACAGUGGGACUGAGAAACGGCCCAGACUCCUACGGGAGGCAGCAGUGGGGAAACUGCCGCAAUGGACGAAAGUCUGACGGAGCAACGCCGGGUGAGUUAUGACGGCCUUCGGGUUGUAAAGCUCUGUUAAUCGGGACGCGGUACCGGAAUAGUAAGCCACGGCUAACUACGAGCCAGCAGCCGCGGUAAUAC
rnacentral:rRNA from 1 species